ACCGGCAAACGGGUGCGGAACACGUACGCAACCUUCCUUUAAGUGGGGGAUAGCCCAGGGAAACUUGGAUUAAUACCCCGUAAUAUUAUGAGGUGGCAUCAUCUUAUAAUUAUAGCUUCGGCGCUUAGAGAUGGGCGUGCGUCUGAUUAGGUAGUUGGCGGGGUAACGGCCCACCAAGCCUACGAUCAGUAACUGGUGUGAGAGCACGACCAGUCACACGGGCACUGAGACACGGGCCCGACUCCUACGGGAGGCAGCAGUAAGGAAUAUUGGUCAAUGGACGCAAGUCUGAACCAGCCAUGCCGCGUGAAGGAUGAAGGUCCUCUGGAUUGUAAACUUCUCUUACCUGGGAAGAAACCCAUAAUUUCUAUUGUGGUUGACGGUACCAGAUGAAUAAGCACCGGCUAACUCCGUGCCAGCAGCCGCGGUAAUACGGAGGGUGCAAGCGUUAUCCGGAUUCACUGGGUUUAAAGGGUGCGUAGGUGGGCAGGUAAGUCAGUGGUGAAAUCUCCGGGCUUAACCCGGAAACUGCCGUUGA
rnacentral:rRNA from 1 species